rnacentral:rRNA from 1 species
ACUCCUUACGGGGGAGACAGUCAUGAGACGUGAGUAUAAGACCUGAGUGUAAAGACCUUAGGGUGAAGCAAUUGGAGGGCAAGCUUUGGUGCCAGCAGCCGCGGUAACUCCAACUCCAAGAGUGUCUAUGGUGGAUGCUGCAGUUAAAGGGUCCGUAGUCGUGAAUGCAAUUAAAUGUCGUUGUUCAAUAGCGAUGAGUUUGCUAAUGUUUGCGGAACGGAUAGGGAGUGUAGUAUAGACUGGCGAAGAAUGAAAUCUCAAGACCCAGUUUGGACUAACGGAGGCGAAGGCGACACUCUUAGACGUAUCUUAGGAUCAAGGACGAAGGCAGGAGUAUCGAAAGUGAUUAGACACCGCUGUAGUUCCUGCAGUAAACUAUGCCGACAGCCUGUGUGUGAGAAUACGUGGGCGGGAGAAAUCUUAGUGUUCGGGCUCUGGGGAUAGUACGCUCGCAAGGGUGAAACUUAAAGCGAAAUUGACGGAAGGACACUACCAGGAGUGGAUUGUGCUGCUUAAUUUAACUCAACGCGGGAAAACUUACCAGGGUCAAGUCAUUCGUUGAUCGAAUACGUGAGAAUGG